rnacentral:tRNA from 1 species
ACAGUGGUGUUUCAGUGGUAGAAUUCUCGCCUUCCACGCAGGAGGCCUGGGUUCGAUUCCCAGCCAGUGCA